UACGUAGGGGGCAAGCGUUGUCCGGAAUCAUUGGGCGUAAAGAGCGUGUAGGCGGCCCGGUAAGUCCGCUGUGAAAGUCAAAGGCUCAACCUUUGAAUGUCAGCGGAUACUGCCGGGCUAGAGUCCGGAAGAGGCGAGUGGAAUUCCUGGUGUAGCGGUGGAAUGCGCAGAUAUCAGGAGGAACACCAACGGCGAAGGCAGCCCCCUGGGUCGACACUGACGCUCAGGCACGAAAGCGUGGGGAGCAAACAGG
rnacentral:rRNA from 1 species